AACGAACGCUGGCGGCGUGUUUAAGACAUGCAAGUCGCACGGGAUAAGACAUGUAGUAAUACUUGUUUUAUUUAGUGGCGCACGGGUGAGUAACACGUGAAUUACAUGCCCUAUAGUGGGGAAUAGCCCAGGGAAACUUGGAUUAAUACCCCAUGGUAUCGAGAGAUUAAAGGUGGCCGCAAGGCUGUCGCUAUAGGAUUGGUUCGCGCCCUAUCAGCUUGUUGGUGAGGUAACGGCUCACCGAGGCAAUGACGGGUACCUGGUCUGAGAGGACGAUCAGGCACACUGGAACUGAGACACGGUCCAGACACCUACGGGUGGCAGCAGUCGAGAAUAAUUCACAAUGGGGGCAACCCUGAUGGUGCAACGCCGCGUGGAGGAUGACGGUCUUCGGAUUGUAAACUCCUGUCAUCUGGGAGAAAGACCUGACGGUAAAUAGCCGGCAGGGUUGAUAGUACCAGAAGAGGAAGGGACGGCUAACUUCGUGCCAGCCGCCGCAGUAA
rnacentral:rRNA from 1 species